UCCCCUCCGCCGCCCGGUGACGCCGUCUCCAAUGGCCGCUCCGAACGGCGCCCGCGGCCUCGAACGUGCGGAAGCGGGAGCCCUUGGGAGGUGCGGCCUGCGUCCGAGCGCGGGACGAGGACCCGGCGGGACGCGCGGACCGAGCGCAGACAGAGCGAACGCGGGCGCCGCGACCUCGCUCCGAAACGGCGUCCUGCGGCGGGAAUGCCCCGAUAUUCGGAAAUUAAGAUAGUGCAAUACUGAGCCUGUGGUAGUUGCUCUACGGCUUGAGUUGCUUUUGAAGAUUUUCAGAUGAGCUAAAAAAAAUUUAAUGAAAACAUCUGGAAAGUAGCAUUAGCAUUAUUCGCAAUAUAGAGACAGAGUGAAUCCAAACAGAUUGGUGGAGAUCUUAAAGAUAAAAAUAGCAACACAACUUAUUACUCCUGAUUGCUCACAAAGGAAAGCCCAGAUGCUCAGCAAUAUACCAUGAUGUCUGAGGAAGUGAAUAGGAGGGCGCCUGGGUAGCUAAGUCAGCACAUAACAGGAAGGAUCCAAAAGACCAGAAAACAAGAAUGGGGUUUCUGGGGGUUAGCAGCUGAUAAGAGUUGAGAAGUACUACUGCACGAUGGGGUGGAGAUGAUAGAUACAUAGCUACAACCAUCUCUUUGGAACAGAAGGAAACUUGGACUCUCAAUGGCUCAUACUGAGAAAGAAGUAGGAUUUAUGAAAGUUUUCUUCUCACCAAUAACAAGGGAUUGUACACACACCAGAGAAGAAUGGCCCAGGACUGAUGGUAACAGAAGUCAUGGAAACCAACCAGAAUAAGCAAACUCCAGAGGGACACAGGGAACAGUAUCAAGACUGAUCGUCACCAGGUGAUUAGAAUUCCUAAAACCUAGGAUGCACUGAGUUUUUGUUUCAGGGUGGAGCAGUAGUUUUUAACAGGAUUAACCCUUUUGUUGCCUGGGAAAAAAGAGCACAUUAAUAGGUAAAUGGAUCAUCAAAGAUACAUUGAAUUAAUUAAGCAAGUUACUUAGCAUAGCACUUUCUGGAACCAAAGGAGACCUAACCAUGCUGAUUUGGGGUAGGGAGGGAUGAGGUGCACAGAAGGAGAGGGCCCAGUCCAGGUAGAUAGCCCGUGGCAGUGGAAGGACUAAGAACAGCCAAUAAUAAACCUGGGCAUAUGUUGGGAAGAAAUCACCAGUAUGACCAAGAGAUGAAUAAAGAAAGGGCAGAGGAGAUCUUAACCAAGUUGACCAUUUGGCAGGGUUUACAGUUAAUUUUUUCUGCAAGUGUGUGUUUCUUGCCCAACAGAGAAAGCAACCAUGGAAAUGUACACAGAGGAGAAUGUCUUAUAAAGAAUAGUUACAGUCCCAGGCCCACAGCCUCAAAAUUUUCAUGGCCUGGAGUCCACUCUCCCUUCAUCCUCCCAUUUCUGAUGCACACAUUGUGGACACACCAGCCUGAAGGCUUAAUCUGGCUCUGACCCCAGCCUGACCACCCCAUACACCUGCAGGGUGGAGGCUCUGUUAAUGGGAAAUUCUGGAAUCCCAGGUAGCUAAAAGGAAAGGAUCCAGGUCUGGGUGGACAGGUUCUUUUGGCCGCUUAAGUCCUCAAAUUGGGAGGGGCAGAGCAAGAAACGGCAGGUACCCUUAAAAGUAAGGAGCCUAGGUUCCUCGUCUCCACCCCCCGCCCCCACCACCGCCACUGGUGACAUUACAGGAGUGCUGCAUACACAUGGGCACAGUGUUCAUUUAGAGUGACUUUCAAUUUGGUUCAAAACCUGUAUGAGACUUUAUUAACACCAUUAAGAAAAAUAGGGACCAUCUCAGCGAAUGAGAAAGUGUUGUAUUAAGUGUAUAGAUAGUGGUAAAAAUUGUGAUUUUUUUGGAAGAAAAAGGUCAAAUGUGUUAACCUCUGCUCUCUGGAUCAUAGAAUAAUCAAGCUUAUAGCCUAAAGAUCAUGUUUCAUUCUAUAGAUGAAGAAAGUGAAAUCGAAAGAGUUUAGGCAUCUAAACAGUAUCUUGCACAUAGUAUCAGCUUAUAACUAUUUAUUGAAGGACGGAAUUAUUACCCCAAACCAGAGGAUGUGAGAGACCCAGAAGACUCCUGAUUUCCUGGUCAUUUGUUUGGCGGUACUCAUCCCCAUGUUUUCCCUAGCUGUAUUCAACAACGCAUUAAGACAUAAUCAUAGUCCUAUAGGUCUGAAAGCCGGUAUGCGAAGGGAGGGGAAAAACAAAAAGACUCCCCUCUCAAUCACAGAAAUGUGUCUUUGUGCAUUUGUAGAUAUGGAAACUCUAAUGCCAAUUCUUUGUAGGGGUAUAACAAAAUGACCCUGGCAAAAAUGAAGCCAUUCAAACCAUCUGUGUAAAAGGAUAUUAGUAGUAGAAGUAUUAUAGUUUCUUUAGCCCAGAUACCCAAAAAGAAAGAUACUGAAGGAUAUUCAAGUGUACCUAAAAAUCCUUUGUUCUAGAGAAUUACUAGACACAAAUAUGGCCUACUACAACAUCCUAGGUAUCUCAGCAAAUGGCCUGUGCUGAUUUUAUUUUACAGUAUCCAAUAUUUUAUCUAAACACAGUAGUUACUUGAGACAGAGGACUGGAUUCAGUAAGUCUUUUAUUAACAGUUCAUUGUUUUAAAAAGAAUACAACUACAGAUCUGCUAAAAGCAUGGAGUCAUUCUCCACCAAACCAAUGUUCCAAAUGUAAUUCCAUCUGCUUGAUACUUUGACAUUUUAGGUCUGGAAAAGCACAGGGUGGAAGACGGCGAAGGGCAGGGAGAUUUUAGUUCAGAAGUGCAGAAAGCUCACUUAGAACAGAGCUUUAGGAAAAGAACACAAAACCACUGUGACUAAUAAAUUUCUCAGAUUUAUUAAGUAGAAAGGCUCAGAGGCAAAAAAGAGACAAGAGACAAGCACAAUUGGCUCUUACACUAGCUCUUGGGGAUUCUGGUGUGAUGCCCUAAGAUUAUUUCCAUAGCUGGGCAAGAGCGAUAGGUUGUAAAUGUAUAACUCGCUGGCAGGACAAUACUUUCUGAAAAUAGUAUUUUCAACCGAGAUACCAACAACAACAACAAAAUGGAUAUGAGGGUUACAACAACUGUUUCUAGAUAGGGUGCACCUGUUUAAGAAAGAAAACUGUCUAAAGAAUUUGUUCUCCAAUUUCACACCCCUUGACCUUUGCAAUCAUUAACUUCACAAUGUUAAUAAGGAACAAACCAAAGUUUAAAUGAAUCUGUGCUUUGAAAGUAUAUUGGAGGUUUAUUCAUCCAGACCAAGUAAAGUUUCUUCAAAAAACAGUCAAAAAUGUUUCCUUAUUUGUUAUGGAUAAUGGCUGGAAAAUCCAUAUUGAAAGGGCUAGGUACUUAAUAUUAAGUGUGUGAUUAUUGCUUCAGAAAUACUACUUUUGGUACCAGCUUUACUGAAGCAUAAUUCACACACCCUACCAUUCGUAAAUUUAGAGUGUAUAACUCAGUGGUUUUUGGUAGAUUCAGAGUUGUGCAACCAAUCAACACAAUCAGCUUCAGAGUAUUGUAUCACUCCCCAAAGAAAGUGUGUAGCCCUAGUUAUCAGCCCACCCACCCAGAUUCCUCCCCCGUCAUCAGCAACCCCUUAUUUACUGUCUGCAGAUUUGCCUGUUCGGAACAUUGUAUAUGAAUGAAAUCUCUUAUAUGUGACAUUUUGUGACUGACAUUUUACUUUGCAUAAUAUUUUUAUGGCCCAUUUAUGUUAUAGCAUGUAUCAUUACUUUAUAUUUCUGGCUUAUUGUGUUUCCAUUCAUUCGUUGAUGGACAUUUGGGUUGUUUUGACCUGUUGGCAAUUAUGAAUAAUGCUCCUGUGAACACUGGUGCACCUCUCUUGGCAUGAAUGUGUUUUCAUUGCUCUUGAAUAUGUACCUAGGAAUGGAAUUCUUGGGUCAAGGGGUAACUCCAUGUUUACCUUUUUGAAGAACUGCCAGAUUGCUUCCCAAGAGGGCUGUACCAUUGGACGUUCCCACCACCUAUGAAAUGAGGAUUCUAUCUUCUUUAUAUCCUCAUCAAGACUUGUUAUUAUUUGACUUUUUGAUUAGAGCCACUCUGGAGAAUGUGUGUAUCUCGGUGUGGCUUUGAAUUGCAUUUCCCUGACAACUAAUUGUACUGAGCAUUUUUUCAUGCACCUACAGGCCCUUUGUAUGACUUGAGUGGAGAAAUGUCUAUUACCUUUUGCCCAUUUAUUAAAUGGUUGUCUUUUUAGUAUUGUAGGAGUCCUUUCUAUAGUCUAAAUACCAUCCACUUAUCAGAUAUAUGAUUUGCAAAUUAUGUCUCUCAUUGAUGAGUUGUCUUUUCACUCUUUUGAUAGUGUCCUCUAAAGUACAAAAAAAUUUAAUUUUGGUAAAUUCUAUUGUGUUGUUGCUGCUUACUGUUUUCUAGUGUAUCUAAGAAACCAUUGUCAAAUCCGUGGUCAUGAAGAUUUACCUCUAUGCUUUCUUCUAAGAGUUUUAUACUUUUAGCUUUUAUACU